rnacentral:rRNA from 1 species
UGAGACUUAGAGGAUCAUGAAGGAACGUUGAAGACGACGACGUUGAUAGGCCGGGUGUGUAAGCGAAGCGAUGCGGUGAGCUAACCGGUACUAAUGAACCGUGAGGCUUAAGCUUACAACGACGAAG